AUUCCCCCGACGGGUCCCAAAUAGGACGAAACGCGCGUCAAAU
rnacentral:hammerhead_ribozyme from 1 species